rnacentral:rRNA from 1 species
AUGGGAAGGGAAGGGGAGGGGAGGCCCCAGAUCAAGCGGAGCGACACAGCGGCACCGGCACGGGUGCGCCGUCGUCUACCUGGUCCUCGAACCGGCCGUUCCCCUACUGACCAUGGCCUCCUCCCCCUCUCUCUGUAUCUCCCACACGGCGGCGCGGUGCAACCGGCGACGAUGGCUUUCUGGCAGGCACGCCACUUCCUGUUUUGCGGCGUGUGCGGCACCCUCCUCGACUUCAACUCCCAAGCAUCCUUGUGUGUUGUGUCUGAAAAUCCCGUGGCUAAUGCAAGACAUGCCCCUUGUUUUCUCAAAAUCAAUGAAUGGUUCCAGGCAAAUAACUAG